UGGCAAUGAUUAAAUAUUUAUCCGCGCUUCUGAGAGAAAUCGAUGAAGCAGAGAUACAGAUAUGGUUGAAUUUCUUGAUAUGAGCCG